rnacentral:rRNA from 1 species
GACAGAGGAUGCAAGCGUUAUCCGGAAUGAUUGGGCGUAAAGCGUCUGUAGGUGGCUUUUUAAGUCCGCCGUCAAAUCCAGGCUCAACCCUGGACAGGCGGUGGAAACUACCAAGCUGGAGUACGGUAGGGCAGAGGGAAUUUCCGGUGGAGCGGUGAAAUGCGUAGAGAUCGGAAAGAACACCAACGGCGAAAGCAACUCUGCUGGGCCGACACUGACACUGAGAGACGAAAGCUAGGGGAGCGAAUGG